GCUGCGGUUGCCAUGGCGUCCUCCGAGCGCGCAGGCGUGGGCCCAGGGUCGCUUUUCCGGUAUUUGCUGCAGUCUCUCGGGAUAGCUGGUAACCUUUGCUUGCUGAGCUUCGCGCCCUGCGUCCUCUGGUCUUCAGCAACUUGCAGUGCAGCCGUCCCGCAUGAGGCCCUCCAGCGAAUGCUCUAAAGCUCCGGAGUUGCUCCGGAGGAAAGCAGGCUUGCCCCGAGAGUCCACGUCCUUACUGCCCGUGCCGUCGUGGUACCUUGAGGGCACCCUUCUGGGAAGAUCCUUGCAGAGGCCAUGUCCCCUCUCCACGACAUCUAAGCCCAGUCCCAACUUGCUUUUCACGCCUGUCCCCCCGGGAAACGUCUACUGGACCUCAGGACAGCCCCUCACCCCCGUGCAUUCCCGAGGUGAAUCUGCAGCGAAGCCUCUGUGGUGACUCACAGUUGCUAGCAUUGGUUAUCUUCUUCCUGGCAGAAGGUGGCAGGCUGAUGCUGGCCUCGUUCCUGUGUGUCUGACAGACCACAAAUGUGAAUUCAGAUCGUCACAGCUGAGUCAUGCUCAGGAUUUCCAUGAGCCCUGCUGGGGUGGCCAGCUGAGCUUCCUUCCCCACAGCCCCCUCCAGCUCUGCAGCACCAGGCACCAGUGUGACUCAUGGGGGCCUGUGGAAGCCGGGGCUGCUCAGCGGGGCUGAGUCUAGGAGGGGGAGAGAGAAAGGGAGCCCAGCAACAAUUACAGCGCAAACGCCGCAGCUGCCACCACCGAGUGCCUCCAGUUGGGAACUGGUUUGUGAAAUUCAUUACCCUAUGAGAUGAGUUUUAUCUCUGUUUCACUCCAGAGGAUUCUGAAGCUCAGGAGGUUGUGAAUGACUCCGGGAAGCACAGCUGAUAGCUGUACUCUUCACAUGUCCUUGCUUCAAGAAACUGGUUGAAGACCACCCUUCCUCCAGCCUUGCGGCCUUGAGGGUGUGGUGAGACACCAGGACCACACAGCCUUGGGAUCAAAGCUGUGCCUGAUGUGAUACAGGUCUCCAUAAAGGUUUGCCAAACAAGCAAGUUAGUGCUUACAAUUUCCCAUGACUGUCACUCAGCUUACCUGUGCCUAAAUAACUUGCCCAUCGCUUAAGAGAGAAACCCCAUAAAUGUCCUUUGAUCCAUUUAUGCCCCAAGACUGUUGUCAUUGUCAUUGUCGUUAUUGUCAUGUUCUCAAAUAUUUUUGCCUGAAGAGUUUUCCUGUCUGAGGACUCUUCACACGAAGAGGAAUUGCUUCUCAUUCUUCCUGUUGAAAUUACUCUCAAAUCUUUUCUGACAGAGUUGCAAACACACUGACAGCUCCCGAAUGAUCUGAUACAGGAUCCUUAAUAGGCAUGGAAGUGUUCGCCAGACAGAGAGGUCCUGCCCUUGCCGAUCUGAGCUGGUUCUGUGUUAGAGACUCCGUGGGCGUCUGUUUGACAGGAUCUGCCAGGAGCGGUAGAAUAACGUUCCUGAUCUGGAAGAGCAAAUCUCAGAUAUUUUGCACGUUUGCAGAACCUACCCCUAGGAGUGGGAGGAGACCACAACCAAAGAAACAAAUGAAGACACAGAAUAUCAGAUGAAGAGCAGCUACACAGAUAGAGUCUUGUGCUGUUGCCUAGGUUGGAGUACAGUGGUGUGAACGUGGCUCACUGUGGCUUCAACUACCCAGGCUCAAGCAAUCCUUCCACUUCAGCCUCCCAUGUAGCUGGGACUACAGAGGCCUGGGCACGUACAGCACAAGCGUGAGGCAUGACAGGCGCAGCGUGCAACGUCCCCUGGCAAUGAGGGUGGGGCUGGUGAGUAUCACUCUCCUGGAGAGAGAAAGAAAGUCAUGAGAUUAAGAGGCAUACCUUUGAAUGGUUUCCCUAAAAUAUAAAAUAUUUCAAAUACACAGAAAAGUUUAUAACACACAACACAUUCCCCACCCAACUCUCUUGAGUGCUAACAUUUUGUCACACUUGCUUUCUAUUUUGUUAAGAAACAAAACAACACACAUCCCAUCAAAGCUCCUAGAAUACCCUUCCACGACCCUUUCUCUUCCCUGUUUUUCACCCAGAGGUAACCAUCAGCUCCAAUUUUGUGUCUACCUUAAAAUUACAAAAUUCAAUUUUGUGGCAUUCAAAAAUGACACUUAACAUCCCACGUGUGAAUCCAUCUUUUUGCAUGUUUUCAAAAUUUAUUUUAUUGAUGACAUGCUGUAUGUAUUUUUUUCUAUUACGAAUAAUGCAAUGAACUUUCUUGUGCCAUUUUCCCUAUGGAACUUCUGCAAAAGUUUCUUAUUACUUUCUUACAUGUGGAACUGCUGGAUCAAAGAGCAAAUAUUUUCUUUCCAGAGGUAUUGUACCAAAUUCCCCUUCAAAUCUCCAGGGAUAAGAAGUCCCUGUGCUCUGUAUCUGCACUUACGUUGAGAUUGUUAGUCUUCUAAAUGUUUUCCAUUUGAUGGCUAUGAAAUGACAUUUCAUACUGCUUUGAUUUGUAGUUUCUUAUUUAGUAGCUAUAUUGAACAUCUUUUUAUGUUUCCUGGCUUUGUAUUUUUUUUCUCUUAUGAAUGGUCUGUUGAUAUCUUUUGCCUUUUAUUUUUA